GACUUCAGGCACCCGCCACCACGCCCAGCAAUUUUUUGUAUUUUUAGUAGAGACGGGGUUUCACCAUGUUAGCUAAGAUGGUCUCAAUCUCCUGACUUCGUGAUCCACCCACCUCGGCCUCCCAAAGUGCUGGGAUUACAGGCCUGAGUCACUGCGCCAGUCCCUUAUUUUUUUUUAUAGAGACAGGAUCUCACUUUGUUGCCCAGGCUGGAGGUACAGUGGCUAUUCACAGGCACAGCCAUUGCACACUACAACCUUAAACUCCUCAGCUCAAGCAAUCUUCCUGCUUCAGCCUCCUGAGUAGCUGAGACUACAGGUGUGUGCACUGUUCCCAGCUAAGAUUGGGUGACAAGAUUAUUCAAGUCUCAAACAUUGAAUUGGAUUGCUUCUCUUUUUUUUUCUGUACUUGUAAUCUAUUUAUCAGCUUCACAUGCAGUGAGUCCUUUGAAUCUAAGUAUCUGUGUCUUUCUUCAGUCCUAGAAAAUUUAUAGCCAUUAUUUGUUCUAUCACUCAUGGUCUCUAUUUCUCCCCACAUCUUCCCAACCCCAGGGUAUUCUUAUGAAUAGGUAUUGAAACAUUUGACCCCAUCCUCCAUGUAUAACUUUUCUUUCAUUUUGCUCAUCUCUUUUAUCCCUUUGUACAGCACUCUGAGGGAAUUACUUACCUCAAAAUUCAAGCUUACUAAUUGUAUCCAACUAUGAAUUAUAUGCUCUUCACGCAUAUAUUGAGUCCUUUUUUAACAAGAAUAUAUGUAUUUUUUGCAAGAUCUCUAUUAGGAUCACUUUCAUAACUACUUGAUCUUGUUUCCCAUAUGUAAUUCCUUCCUUUAUUUCUCCAACAAUAACUGUAGACUUUUUAAAGUUUUCUCCUAAUGCUUUACUGACUUAUGUAUAUUUUUCCAUUUCCAUUUGUUAUCUCUCUUAGUGAAGUUGGCUUUCCUCAAAUAUUUUUUGAGUCUUUACUCUGUUCUUGCCAUUGUGGUUGGGAGUCUUUGCUGGACGGCUGGGUGGGAACUGCUGCCAUGAUUCUGAGGGUUUUGGUUGAGAGGGAAGGGUCACAGUAUGCUGCGGUUUGGUGGCUUCUCACCUGGGCGGUGAUACAUCUUGUUUCUGCCAGGUGCGGCCAGCCACCUAAAGUACCACCUGGUCUCUGAUCCAAGCUGCAACCCUUACUGUUCUCUAAGUCUGUCAUCUAAAGGCAGACAUCUUCACCUUUGCCCUUGGCCCAUGGCAGAAGGAGAAUGUGCAACAAUCAUUCAAAGAAAAACCCCAACUAACCACACCAUCGGUAGCCCCUAGGGUCUCUUCUGCCCUGUUUGCACUGCCUCUAGUCCAGAGGCAACGUGCAGAGCUCUCCCACAUAUACCCUACUCUCAAGUUUCUCAGUAUGAUCUGCCAUCUGUUCUUGUCUUUUCCAGAAUCCUGUUGUUUUUAGUCUACUGAGAGUCCCCUUUCUUGCUUUCAAAUGGAACUGUGUAUAGUGUUUAUUUGUUCUAUUUCUCUCAUGUCUAUUAUUUCUGUGCAUUUGGUAUAGAGGAGAAAGACUGCAGUGUGUGUUCAGUCCACCAUCUUGAAACUGGUGCUUUCCCUCUGUGUGUUUCCCGUCUGUCCCAUCUUCCUCCACAACCCCAGCCCCAGUAGCAAAUAUCUGACCCUGUGACCACGGGCUCAGGAAGCUACCAAACCACCUUCUUAGG
rnacentral:lncRNA from 1 species